rnacentral:rRNA from 1 species
UCUGUAGAGGGUUUGAUGUGUCUUUUGUUAAAUUCCAAUGCUCACCAUUGGCAAUGCAGAGGAAACUAUCAGACUAGAGGAUAUGAGAGGCUGUUGGAACUCAGAGAGUAGGGGUGAAAUCCGUUGAUACUCUGGGGAACACCAAAGGCGAAGGCAUUCAGCUGGCAUAUUCCUGACCUUGAGAGACGAAAGCGUGGGUAGCAAACAGGAUUAGAUACCCUGGUAGUCC